AUUGAACGCUAGCGGCAUGCCUUACACAUGCAAGUCGAACGAGUGGCGGACGGGUGAGUAAUAUAUGGGAACCUGCCUGAUAGCGGGGGAUGACUACUCGAAACUGUAGCUAAUACCGCAUACUAUUGGAACGGCCAAUAUCGGAUUAGAUAGUUGGUGGGGUAAAGGCUCACAUAGGAAACGAUCCCUAGCUGGUUUGAGAGGACGACCAGCCCCACUGGAACUGAGACACGGUCCAGACUCCUACGGGAGGCAGCGGUGGGGAAUAUUGGACAAUGGGCGAAAUCCUGAUCCAGCCAUGCCGCGUGUAUGAUGAAGGCCUUCGGGUUGUAAAGUACUUUUAGCUGGGAGGCGGUAUCUGCAGAAUAAGCACCGGCUAACUCCGUGCCAGCCGCCGCGGUAAUAC
rnacentral:rRNA from 1 species